AUGUUACCAUGGUGCUGCAACUGGCUGAACAUGCUGUUACUAUGGAAACAACAGUGUAUUUCUCCGCAUCUCAUACAUUUUGAAUACCAGGCUGCCACAAGACUCUUGUUGACAACUACAUCUACAGGAACAAGAUCUUCAAGGGCAUUAUUGGAGACACGCAUUGUUCAAAUAAUUCCUUUCCCUGCCACAAUAAAGAGACCACUUGGUCCAUUAAAGUUAUCAAUCCAUCCUGGAAAGUUCUUUCCAACUGGCACCAACAAUAGACGGCCUUACAAUCUCCACAUUUAGCUUUGCUCCUUCUUGUUGUACAACAUAUUCUGCCAAUGCUUUUGUGUAUAUGUAUGUGUCAGGUCUGUCUCCUAUCAACUUUGGCAUGAUAUCAUUUACUCGGCCAUAAUCCAUCCACUCUAAAGAAUCAAUCAGCUUCUCGGGAUCCACAGGUGGUAGAUAGACAGAGCAAUACUCCGUCUCAAAAAAAAAAAGUAAGCAUUUACCUGCACUUUUUCACCCUAAUACUCUAUCAGGUCAAAUUUCAUAUACUAAGUGUUAGCAGUUUAUUCUCUGGGAAACAGUU
rnacentral:lncRNA from 1 species